rnacentral:tRNA from 1 species
GGGGAAUUAGUUAAAGUAUAACUCUGCCUUGUCAAGACAAAAUUACAAGUUAGACCCUUGUAUUCCUCU